rfam:Gossypium hirsutum cultivar TM-1 chromosome 21, whole genome shotgun sequence
UAUUAAAAUUUUCAUUCAUUUCUACUGUUAAAAACUGGUAUCGCUAAAAAAUAAUCAAACAGUGAUAUGCCCCUUGUACCUUAUAUAGUCGUAUAAAGAUCAAUUUUUAACUGUAAAAUGGAUUGAAUUUUUAACA